AGGAUAUUAGUUAAAAUAUAACAUUAAUAUUGCAAUUUAAAAUUAAUAAAAUUAUAUCUUU
rnacentral:tRNA from 1 species